GCUGCUUGAAGGGAGCAGCCAGGUCCCCACCUACUGCCCUAUGACGGGUGUCCCCUUUUUUUGUGUCUUACGAGGGAAGGCCCAAGACGGUGAGAAGCUUUGGAAAUCUCUUGAUUUCACCUCAUUUCCAGGCCACUUGACCCACUGGGCCCCGAAUUUGCAACAUUCACCAGGGGCAGUGCAUCACCUGCUUAGCUUCUCAGAAACAAGGGCCUGCCCAGAACUCUUCUCAGGACUGGCCGAGAAGAAGGGGCGGAGCCAAUGAAGAGGCGUGGUUUUCCCACGGUGGGACGAGCCAAAGGCGGGCAAGCUUUUCCUUCCAUAAAGAUGGGAAAAUACCUUGCAUCAAAAGCUCUGAGUGGCGUCUCUCCGGCUGAUUUGACUAACUGAGGAAAUACCUUGCAAGGACAUGGUAAGACAGCAGCUAGAUGUCUGCAAGCCAGGAAGAGUCUUGACCAGAAACUAAAUCUGCUGGAAACUUGUGAAUUUCAAGCCUCUGGAACUGCUCUUCUGAAUGGGGUCCAACAGCUGCCACUCCUCCCACGUGAAGACCACAGCCACAUCCUUCAAUGACACUGAGCCCUGCAACAGAACGCUCCUAGUCAUUCUAAAGGGAUCAUCAUUGACCAAUACUAUGAAGAAAAGCAUCAUA